UAAAACUUGGAGGUCCACAGGAUCACUACGGCAUUUAACUUUCAAACCUACCUCACCACUUCGGCUAGUUAAGAUAACUCUAUUUCCUCUCUCAACCUUUGGAAAACAUGCUAUUAACAUCUCCCCUGUUGCAAUAUCCCACACAUCAUCCAAGACGAUGAGGUACCUUUUAUCGAGUAGUGCUACUCGUAGCUUUUCAGCAAGGUCAUCCUUUUUCAAUAAAGCAUUAAAGUACUUUUUCAAGUUCCCAACCUUUCAAG
rnacentral:misc_RNA from 1 species